rnacentral:rRNA from 1 species
UACGGGGGGGGGCAAGCGUUUGUUCGGAAUUACUGGGCGUAAAGGGCUCGUAGGCGGUUUGUCGCGUCGGGAGUGAAAUCCACUGGCUUAACUGGUGGCUUGCUUUCGAUACGGGCAGACUGGAGGUAUGCAGGGGGAGAACGGAAUUCCUGGUGUAGCGGUGAAAUGCGCAGAUAUCAGGAGGAACACCGGUGGCGAAGGCGGUUCUCUGGGCAUGUCCUGACGCUGAGGAGCGAAAGUGUGGGGAGCGAACAGG